rnacentral:rRNA from 1 species
GACGAACCGUGCGAACGUUGUUCGGAUUCACUGGGUUUAAAGGGCGCGUAGGCGGGCUGUCAAGUCGGUGGUGAAAUCGUUCCGCUCAACGGGACAAUGGCCUUCGAUACUGGCGGCCUGGAGGGAGGUAGGGGCAUGCGGAACUUCCGGUGGAGCGGUGAAAUGCGUAGAUAUCGGAAGGAACACCGAUGGCGAAAGCAGCGUGCUGGACCUUUUCUGACGCUGAGGCGCGAAAGCCAGGGGAGCAAACGGG